rnacentral:misc_RNA from 1 species
GGUUGUUUUUGGCCGCACUGUCUGUUUCCUGAAGUUUUUAUCGGAGCUUCUCUAGGAAAAUCUUCCGCAGAGCAGUUUGGUGAUGGCACCAAAACAGCCUAAUACUGGCCUUUUUGUGGGUCAAAAUAAAGGACAUGUAGUGACAAAGAAGGAAUUGGCUCCACGUCCUUCUGACAGAAAGGGGAGAACUAGCAAGAGGGUCAGUUUCGUGAGAAACCUCAUCAGGGAAGUGGCUGGUUUUGCUCCUU